rnacentral:tRNA from 1 species
GUGCCCGUAGUUCAAUGGUAGAACGCCGCUCUGUGGAAGCGGUCACGGGAGUUCAAUUCUCCUCGGGCACC